CCCUGCGCGGGGAGGAGCACCCGCCGGCCGGGCCGAGGCCGUCACCAGGGCAGCGGCCGCACAGCCCCGGGAGCGCAGCGCCGCCAGGCGGGGAAGUGGAAACGCCUCCAGUCCCAGCUCCGGCCCGGGGGUGCGCGUCGGACCCAGCUCCGGCCCGGCACCCCGCGCCCGCCUCUGCUCCCGGCCGGGCCACGUCCCCCCGCCGCCGAGUCACCGAGCUGCCGCCGCCCCGCUCCGGUCCCCGGCUGCCCCCCGCUGAGGCGGCCUGGGAGCCGUGCCCGGCGGCAGCACGUCAGUGGAGGCGACUGAGCGACCUGCUCGCAGCAGCCGGAGGGGACUGAGUGCACUCGGGCCCGGCUCGGCCGCGAGCUGACACGUUACUAAGUUUGGAGGAAAGCCGCUGGCUGGUAGCACGAAGGGGAGCGGGCGGCAGGGCCCCCCGCGGUGCGCCCUGCCCUGCCCUGCCCUGCUCGCUCCUUUGAUCGCCGGAGAGCGACGGUCCUGCAGGGCUUGGCUCCUCGGGGGGGCCUUUCCGGUCCCGAGACGGGCUCAUCCGCCGGCCCGGCUGCCUGGUCUGAGCGCGGGGCGCCCGCCCCGUUCAGAGCACUGCUCCUUCCCUUGCUUCCCUUGAAUCAAAACUGUUUCAACGUUUUGCCCAUAGGCUAUAAUGGGGAAGCCUGGAACAGCCUACAACUUUGUCAUUUCUUGCUUGAUUUGGAUGACACUUGCAGGGAUGGUAGCCCCUUCUGAGAGCAUGAAGCCUGCCGAGUUUCAAGGAGAUUGGUGCAGGGUUUUCUGCGAAAUGGCACCUCAAGCUGCUGACAAGCAAAACUCAUGGUGUGUGCGUGCGCACGUCCUUCUCAAGCUAUCUGAUGUGGCACACUGGCAAUUUUUUUGGUGCCCAGUUUAGCUGGUGGCAGCUACUUCAUGUAACAGCGCUACCCAAAUGCACGACGGGCUGUUUCUUUCUCUUUCCUCACCUCGCACAACGUGACGUCACCUGAAGUGUUGGAACGUAUGAACUGUGGCACUAUGACAUAUCAAUGUUAUGCUUCUAAAAAUAUACUUCUUUCUUUCCUGGCAACUCGCUGCAGAUCGGCAACCAGUGCCUCACACCACCACUUUGAGAAGCACUGCUCUACACGACAUGGUAGUAUGCCCCAGUUAGGCCUCCUGCAGCCUCAGCCCGGUCCACCACUUUAAAUGACAACAGGUAAUAACUUUGCAAGCAGCAAAGUAGCACCAGCAGCAUCUCAGGCAGCCAAACUGUCACAGUCAAUAUCCCCUCUUUUCCCUCCUUCUCCUUCUCCCUCUCCUUACUUUCUGCUUCCCUGCAGGCAAGCCCAGCUUCAGCUUUGAAACUCGAAAUGUUUCAAAACUUCCAAAACGUUUCGACUGCCCUCAUUUUGUUUGAAGGCUGUUUCAAAGCCCUUCAUUUUGUUUCCAUUUCGCUGUUUUGAGCUUGAAACAAAUUGAAACAGAGUUGAAACAGCCAGCAAAAAUUUGCACGGCCCUACUAGGCAACCCUACCGCAGCUGUGAAACUGCUCCGCAAGGGCUUGGGACCCAGUCAAUUGCAUUGGUUGCAAGGUCCUGAGACCAGCCCUGGCUCAGCACCCUCUCCAGCUGCAGGGUUCCUCUGGUGUUCCAGAGUGUGUCUCUUCUCCCUUCUGGUAAUCCCUUAACUCUUACAGCCGUAGCAUUAACAUGCAUGCCUGUUAGACAUCUGUGAUUUGUAGGAUGCAUUGUUUUCCCAGGGGGGUAAGUGGUUGCUGUGGGGUUUUGCAUUAUAAUGCUCUGGUGAGGAAUGCAGUGGGUGUGCUAUGUGGAGGUAUGUGGGAACAUGGCAUUAUUUAUAGAAGGCAGAGGCUGUCAGUGAACAUGGGGAGUGUGGGUUAGGAAAGAUACAUUAAUGAAUGCUCCUUUGUUCAGAAAAGUUCCUGCUGGGAAGGUGCCAUCUGCAUGGAAACCAAUGUUUUUAAACCACAUUUUCCUUUUUGAGGGAAUGUUCUUGUCUCUUUAUUUUAAAAGGAGAGUGACAGAGAGAGAUGCAAAGAGCCUCUCUGUCUCAGGAGCACUGGAUAACACACCAGCUCAUGGCACAGCAGCUUCAAAUUAGAGAGAAACAGAAGAGGCUUAAAUCAAUGUUUAGUUUGCACUAAACAAAGCAAACACUUUCCUGAGAGAGGUGAGAAAAGAUUAUCUUCCAACAGAUUAAAUCUGAGAUCACUAUUAGUUCUUACAUGAUGCCUCCAUGCAUUUCUCCUCCCACCUCUCUCCUCUCUAAACCAAAGGAUCCUAAGCUUUUCUGCCUUUUCAGUGUUGUUUUUCAUUUUGCUGUUUACGCAGCCUCACACUCUAUCUGUGUAGGGUUCCAGUUAUCACUCUGCUGUUCCCUUAGCUGAAGUUUUCCCCCCCAGGUACAGACACAGAGGGCUUUGCCUGAACAGCACAGUUUUGAACCCAGUAAUAUACACUGGUAUAGACAUAUGAACAAUAUAUCACAGGGUGAGAGGGGGUUGGUUUAUUGUGUGUCAGCUGCUCCAUAGUUAUUGGCUGUCUGCAUGCUCUUACUCAGAGGCCUACCCAGUAGGGUUUGUUCCCUGGGCCAGCAAGAAAUGGCUGCUGCUGUGGGGGAAGGGGUCCCCAUAUGAUAUGGGGUUAACGUGGCAGCUGCUGGGUAUGUGGACCCUCCCACACUCCUGCUACCUUGGCAGCCUCCACCAUUACCAGUUCCCAGACAUAACAGGGUUUAUACAGUGGGUGGUGUUAACCUCCUGGGUGCUGGAACGCUGGGAUGAGCUCUCAGCAGUGAUGGGGUGGGGUGGGGGGUGCAUUUGACACCUCCCAUACUUCAACAGUGCCUCCUAUUGAAGGGGUGAGUAGGGAAUGAGGCUUAUAAGGGGACUCCUGCCCUUACUUCCCAUAGCAAGAGACUUGCACCCCCCCCGCCUCUAUUCCAGUGCCCCCCUUAGUUUGUGCCCUACUUGCCAAACCCUAGUUACCUUACUGCUCUUAUCACAUAAGUAGAAACUAAGCCAGAGUAAAUUAGCAUCUUUUCACUGAGGCCUCCAACCCCACAAAAGUAGCUUUAAAAAAUAGUCUCCAAGGCCCUGGGGAUGACUUUGAUAGAAAUAUACCGGAUUAGAGAUCUGGGUAGGCACCACUGAAUAGGAGGGGUUGGGAAACAGUGUUCCCAUUGUUACAGUUGAGGAGUGAGGAAACACAUGAGCGGGGGUCUUUCAACAAAGGCAUGUAGCAGGUGAAUGAGGCAGUCAGCAAGGCCCCCCGCUUUGCAUAUUACAGAUGUAUCUGGACCUUCCAUAUGCUAUUGUGACUUUUUGUUCUUCCACGUUUCUUGGGAGUGGGUGCUGGUUGCUAUUGAGCAGUGACCCCCAUAACAAUAGGUAAAAAAACAACACAACAGCACCAGAGGGGACCAUGCUCAUUAGCUACACUUCUUCAUCAAAGAGACAUUUGCCCGUACAUUUCCUUCCUACUCGACACAGGAAACCCAAAGUUUCUUCCCCUCCUUUCCCUUUGACACACCCGUGAUCUAUAUCUGACUGUUUUGCCCACUGGUAGGCUGUGACUUGACAACCAAAAGUCUGAUGAGACUACGUGAGGCUUUCCAGCAGCUUGAGAGCAAGUCCCAUUGUAUGGAGUGCUGGUGCCAAGACCAUGACAGUGUUCAGGGGAAAGGCUGAAUCCAGGGAUCAUGACAGCAUUCAGAACAGUCACCCUGCCCUCCUAGUGAUCUGGCUGUUCAGUAUGCUCACACCUUGCUUGAUCCUUUGGUGUUGGCCUAAUCAUUUCUGCAAAACUCAUUUCCAGGAGUAUUGCAGAAAUGAUUAGGCCAACACUAAUCAUUUAGUGCCAGGGCAGAACAAUGGUGCAGCCACACUGCCCUCCCCAGGUCACUGCUGAGAGCUCAUCCCAGCUGCCAGCCACAUGUGCAGUAAGCUCACGUGCAAUGUGUUCUCCACCAUCACUCCACUUUUUUGCUAUCCUGGAUCUGCUGUUCCCAUUCCUCCUUGAGUUGGCUCACUUAAAUAGUGAGCUACUCAUGUACAAAGGCACAGAUGCAGUUUAAUUUAAUACUAGCUGAGACAUGCCUGAUGUAUCUGAAAGGGCAAAGAGCUGCAAAGCAUCAUCUGGCAUGCUUUGCAAAGUAUCAUCUGGCAUGCUCUGGAGAGCUGUGCACUGUCCACCCAUGCAAGAAGACCAAGGGGCACUUUAUGGCAAAGUUACUGUGUGUCCAUUCAGAUAUCCUCUUCCAGGGGCCAGGGCAGCAUUGCAGGGCCAGAGCUGUGGUACCACAUUUUGAAGAGUACCUCUACAUUGAAGGCAUGGAAAGCCCUGUACUCUAUAUUGUUGGCAUGGGGAGCCCUUUGCCAGAUGGUGUCUGCUUAUGGGUAAGAAGGUGGGUCUCUGACUGUCAGCCCAGCAGACCCAGGCUGUACUGUCUGAUUCCUUGGGGUUCAGUUAUAAUCAGACCUUCCCUGAAGUACCCAGCAGCAGUGGCCUCCAGGUACAAGACAUUACCUGCUGCUUGGUCGAGACCAGGCCCACUUUUAGGGGUCAAGCCAGACCCUUCUUUCAGGGUCCAAACAAGCAUGGUAAGGCAAGGCACUUCUGCUUCAGGCCAGCAUCAGUUUUUGAGAAGUCCUGUGUCACUCUGCUGAUAGAAACUCAAGGCUUGAGUUUUAGAGGUGUGAUUCCUUCAGCCCUCAUUGAAGGCAACAGGCUUCUCCAUAAUCUAUAAUGCUUCAUAAUGCUCUUUGGCUACCAGGAGUCAAUAGGUGAUCUUGGGCUGGCCUGCCAAUUAGUUGUCUGAUAAUUAACUGAGCUAAUUCUUGGUAUGUGAUGAUUAUUGCUGCUCUAAUAAUGAAUCAGUACAAAUUGACUGGUUUCUCUUUCUCUCUGGGACAGAAAGAAAAGGGGUAAUAUUGAUUCACCCCUUUGUACUCUGGUCUUAUUGCAGAGCUGUCAAACACUUGUGCCACUGCUGCAGAGGAAGCUCACAAUCCCAUGGCGCUGGUAUUAUUGUCACAGGCCACUAGGGUGUCCUGCUCCUUUUAAGGCCUGGAGCUGCUAGGGGGAGAGCCCUACCAGUGAGUUAGGAGCCCUAGCUGCUGGUUACCAGGGCAGCCAGAACGAGCUAGUGGGCCCACACCUGCCAGCAGUCAGCUGACCAGAAGGGGCAGGGCCUGGCUCGUAUAUAAACCUCAGGCCAGAGUCCAGGAGAGUAGAUCUCUGCCAGCACCCAAGGGGGAAGGAGCUCUCCCAGAGGAAGUAAAGGGAAGAGGCCUAACUGCAGGUGCAGCUUCUGGUACUGUUGAGGGAUAGAGUACCCCCUGUGUGGCUUGAGUGAUGUUAUAGCUGGGUGGCUUGAGUUUCAUAGUUGGUAGGGUCAGAAGGGACCUUGACAGAUCAUCAAGUCCGACCCCCUGCCAUGGCAGGAAAAGGUACUGGGGUCAAACGACCCCAGCAAGGUGUUCAUCUAGCCUCCUCUUAAAGACUCCCAGGGUAGGAGCCAGCACCACUUUGCUUGGAAGUUGGUUCCAGAUCCUAGCCACCCUGAUAGUGAAGUAGUGCCUCCUGAUGUCUAGUCUGAAUCUACCCUCUGCCAGUUUGUGACCGUUAUUUCUUUUCACUCCUGGAAGUGCCCAGGGGAACAGGGAUUCCCCCAAUGCCUGUUGGUCCCCUCUGACUAGUUUGUAAAUGCCCACCAGAUCCCUUCUCAGCCUUCUCUUGUGGAGGCUGAAUGGGUUCAGGUCCCAUAGCCUCUCCUUGUAGGGCCUGCCCUGUUGCCCCCUGAUCAUGCAAGUGUCCCUCCUCUGGACCCUCUCCAUGUUGUCCACAUCCCUCCUGAAGUGCGGUGCCCAGAACUGGAUGCAGUACUCCAACUGCGGCCUGACCAGUGUUGCAUAGAGGGGGAGGAUCACCUCCUUGGACCUGCUUGAGAUGCAUCUGUGGAUGCAUGACGAAGUGCGGUUGGCCUUCCUGACCGUGUUCCCACACUGUCAGCCCAUGUUCAUUUUGGCAUCAAUAAUGACUCCAAGAUCCUUUUCUGUAUCUGCGCUGAUGAGAAGGGAGUUCCCCAGCCUGUAGGUAUGCUGCUGGUUCUUCCCCCCCAGGUACAGCACCUUGCACUUGUCAGUGUUUAAACCCAUCCUGUUCUCAUCCGCCCACUCCUGUAACCUGUCUAGGUCUGACUGCAGCCUACUCCUCCCUUCUAGCGUGCCCACUUCCCCCCACAUCUCAGUGUCAUCUGCAAAUUUAAACGGUGCUUUUUACCCCCUCAUCCAAGUCGUUGAUGAAGAUGUUGAGCCGUGCAGGCCUGAGGACUGAGCCCUGUGGGACCCCACUGCCCACAUCCCACCAGGUCAAAAAUAACCCAUCCACCAGCACUCUGGGUGCGGCCCUCCAGCCAGUUAGUGACCCAUUUGACUGUGUAGGUGUCGACGCCACAGUCCCUUAGUUUUUUAAUGAGAAUGGGGUGAGAGACAGUGUUGAAGGCCUUCCUAAAGUCCAGAAAGACUACAUCCACUGCUACCCCUGCGUCUAAGGAUUUUGUGACUUGGUCAUAGAAGGCCAUCAGGUUGGUCUGACAGGACCUGCCUCUAAUGAAUCCAUGUUGGUUGCCCAUAAGCAUAAUCUCCUCUGCUGGCCCCUCAAGGACAUGCGCUAUGAUAAUUCUCUCAAAAAGCUUACCCAGGAGUUUAUGUUAUAGCCUGGGGGCUUGCAGGUUGAUUUUUGUUUAUAAGACCAGUGGUUUGGGUGAGGCUAUUUGGUGGAAGGAGGAGGCCUCAUUGGGGGCCCACUGCAGCGUGGGGACCCUGGUGCCAGAGAAGGUAUGGCAUUUGGGAUGCACAGACCCCAGCAUAGGGCGAGACCAGGCAGGACAAGGGGGCAACAUUACAACAAAGCCUAGACCGGAUAAUGUCGGUACCAUCUGCGAGACUUGGGGCGUUGUAAAGGGGCAGCUGGAGCCACACACAGCCCAUAAGGUUAGGGUGCUCUGAAACACCCAUUUUGAAAUGGGACCACAGGGUUCAGGGAAAUCCAUCAAAACUGUGUCCAACAGGACAUGAAGGCAGCCUCCGUAUAUUACAAAAAUACAAAAAGACGUGGCGGGUGAGAAUAGAGGGUGCCCAUCGGGCCGAAUUGGCAUGGUCAGGGGGGCCUUAGGGGUAACACAGCCAUCCUUAGGGACCCCAUCCCAUGACAAUUAUGAUAAAAUUGUGGGUGCUUCCAUCAGUACUGCAGAAGUUCACAGCACAAUGGUAUGUGUGCUACUGCUGAGUCAGUGGUCCCUUAUGCUAUUGCUAUUGGGAACAGUUCAGAGGGCUGCAGCUUUCACUAGUGCUGUACAGCCCUCUGUAACUAGCCUUUAUAAUUUCAAUGACUGUUCAAGAACAUUUAAAAGCAUCUCUAGCUCCUUCAUGCAUUUCAAGUGUAGCUUUUACCAGCUGCUGAGAAUGCUAAUGGUGGGAGAAGACGCAAAACAACAGUUCAGCCUUUAUCAAAUGACAUUGAUUCCCACAGACUACAAGAUAACAUCAGAAAACAACAAAGAACAUUUCAAGGCUGGAAUAAAACACAGCUGCUCCUUUGCUCUGCAGUGAAAUGAGUCGGCAGAGGGAGGUGGGGAAUGUUGUUCAUCCUUUGACAUACUUAUGAUACAAGUUUGCCAAUAUAAUCAAUGCAGGCUUCUUAUUUGGGGAAUCUUUACCUAUUUAAACCUUGGGGGAUUCUUUUCAAAGAUUUGCAGAAGUCUAUUGAGAAAUAUGGCUUUGAGCAGGUACUUCUUUAAGAUGAAUGGAUGAUGCUCAGCCAAUGCCCUGACUGUGGAAUAAACUCCCUCUAGAGGUGGUGCAGUCACCUACUCCGGAAAUCUUCAAGCGGAGGAUGGGCGGUCACCUUGCUGGGGUCACCUGACCCCAGUUGUCUUUCCUGCCUAGUGCAGGGGGGCUGGAUCCAAUGGUCUUGCAAAGUCCCUUCCAGCCCCUUACAAUUUAUGAAUGCCCAGCUGGAGAAAACUACUUUACCCUCAUUGCCAUCAAAUUCCAUGGCAGAAUCAAGCUAGUCAUGGAGGUAGGUCUCUAACUCCAUCUAUCCUCCUUGCUCUUCACAGUUUAAGAUGGCACUCACUCAGCAGCGUCAAGUCUCCUGCUAAAGAUACCACUUUGCAUGUGACUGCACCACAUGGGAUUUUUUUUUUUUUUUUGGUUCUUGUUAUUGGAAAAUGGCUGGUGAAUAUAAAUGCUGUCUGGAUGCCAAAAACCAUGGACUUAGCAGGCAGUGGUUUUAUGGCUCAUAGAUUUCAUAGAUUUUUAGGGUCGGAAGGGACCUUAGUAGAUCAAGUCCAUUUCUCCUCUUAAAGACCUCCAAGGUAGUAGAGAGCACCACCUUCCUUGGAAGCUCAUUCCAGAUCCUGGUAAUGCUUACUGUAAAGAAGUUCUUCCUAAUGUCUAAUCUAAAUCUGCUCUCUGCCAGUUUGUGGCCAUUGUUUCUAAUUACUCCAAGGGGUGCCUUGGUAAAUAAAGUAUCUCCUAUUCCUUGCUGUCCCCGACACCCCUGGCGAAUUUGUAGAUGGCCACUAGCUCACCUCUCAGCCUUCUUUUGCAGAGGCUGAAGAGAUCCAGGUCACUCGAUCUCUCCUUGUAGGACCUUACCUGCAGGCCCCUAGCCAUACGAGUGGCCCUCCUCUGGACCUUCUCAAGGCUAUCUACACCCCUCUUGAAGUACAGUGCCCAAAACUGGAUGCAGUACUCCAGCUGCAGCCUUACCAUUGUACAUAGAGGAGUAGUAUCACCUUAGACCUGUUAAUGCAUGAUAAGUGUGGUUAGAUCUAUUGAUUGCUUCAUCACAUUGUUGACUCAUGUUCAUCUUUGAGACAACUAUGACUCCGAGAUCCCUUUCUGCUCUUGUCCUGCUUAGGAAAUCAUCUCCCAGUCUGUAAGUGUUGGUGAUUCCUUCUCCCAAGGUGCAAUACUUUGCACUUUGUUAAACUGCAUCCUAUUUUGUUCUGCCCAAUCUUCCAGCUUGACCAAAUCUACUUGAAUCCAUACCCUGUCCACCAGUGUGUUUGCUUUGUCCCAUAAUUUGGUGACAUCUGUGAAUCUGGACAGAGUGCUCUCCAUGCCCUCGUCCAAGUCACUGAUGAAGAUAUUGAACAGCACUAGUCCAAGGACUGAGCCUUGGGGGACACCAUUGCCCACAUCUUUCCAGGUUCAUACCGACCCGUCCACCACCACUCUCUGGAUGCAUCCCAUAAGCCAAUUCGUCACCCACCUGACCAUGUAAUCAUUUACAUCACAGCCACUUCGUUUAUUUAUGAGAAUGGGAUGAGACACCGUAUCAAAGGCUUUUUAAAAAUCUAGGUAUAUUACAUCUACCGCAAUUCCUGCUUUUAAGCAGUUUGUGACCUGCUCUUAAAAAGAAACAAGAUUUGUCAGGCAGGAUCUCCCUGCUAUGAAUCCGUGCUGGCUGCCUUUCAGCAUUAUUUUUCCUGCUGGGCUCCCACAAAUAUAAUCCUUCAUAAUUUUUUCAAAGGAUAGAGGUGAAACUAACUGGUCUAUAGUUACCUGGAUCCUCCUUCCACCUCUUUUUGAAAAUAGGGACUACAUUGACCCUUUUCCAGUCCUCUGGGAUUUGUCCUGAGAGCCAUGAGUAUUUUCUUGUCAGUGGUUGUGCUGUGACACUGGCCAAUUCUUUCAGCACCCUUGGAUGAAGAUUAUCUGGACCUGCUGAAUUAAACACAUCAAGCCCCUCCAAGUGUCCCUUCACAAGGUUGAUGCUAACUGUUGGUAGGCUGGUGUCCCUUCUGUGCUUGUCUAUAGUCCAGUUUGGAGAUAUGUCUUUAUCUGUGUUCAGGAAUACUGGUGCAAAGAACUCACUGAAGAGCUCAGCUUUGUCCCUGUCACUAAUUUCCCUAGUUCAGGGGUUGUCAAUCGGGGGUAUGCAUACCCCUGGGGAUACUUGGACUGGUCCUAGGGGGUACAGGUGGGUGGGGAUGGAGUGCCAUCACCUCCCAGGAGCAGGGCCAGGCCAAGGCAGGGCAGGGGCAGCAGUGCCCAUUUGUGGGGUGGGGAAGCUCACACGCAGCAGCUGCCACCACCACACACCAGUCCAGUGAGCUUCCCUGCCCCACAGAGGGGCGCCACUGUCCUCCCCCUAGUCCAGUGAGCUUCCCUGCCCUGCCCCGGCCUUGGUCCUGGGAGGCAGUGGCACUCCGUCCCCACUCACCCAUGCAUUGUCUCCACCUCCCUGCUCUGUGUCCGGCCACAAGCUCUGCCCCUAUUCCCCGCUUGGCUUCUGGCCACUGGGCGUACUUAGACUAAAAAAGGUUGAAAACCCCUGCCCUAGUCUGUCCUGUAGGGGUCCUAUGUUACCAUGCACCUUAUUUUUGCUCCCUGUAUACCUGAAGAAGGACUUUUUGUUGUCUUUAAUUUUUGUUGCCAGCCUGAGUUCCAUUGCUGCCUUGGCCUUUCUAAUUGACUCCCUGCAAGUGCAAGCCAAGUAGGUAUAUUAUAUUCCUCCUUGGUGGCUACCCCCUGCUUCCAGUCUGUAGGCCUCUUUUUUUCAUCCCUGGGCUUUCCUGGGUUUCCCUGUUCAGCCAAGAGGGUUUCUUGGCCCCUUUGCCCCCCUUCAUGUGCAAUGGGAUUGUCCCCCUCUAUGCCCAAAGGAUUGUUCCCUUGAGGAACAACCACCCUUCCUGGACUCCCAUCUUACCAAGGUUCUUGUCUUUCAGCACCUCACUUAGUAACCUGCUGAGCUCAUUGAAGUUAGCCUUUCUGAAGUGUAGUACUUGUGGCCUACUGGUUAUCUUUCCCACCUUUUGAUGGAUAGUGAAUUCUAACAAUUGGUGGUCACGAUCUCCUAGAUUACCCUGUACCUGCAGAUCUACCACCAGGUCAUCUCCUGUAGCAAAUACCAAAUCCAGUAAAGCAUUUCCCCUAGUGGGACUAUAUGCCUCCUGCAUUAAGUGAAGGUCCUGUAUGCAGGUUAAGAACCUAUGUGAACGGUCAGAUCUAGCUGACUGCUCCUCUCAGCAGAUGUCAGGACAGUUAAGGUCACCCAUGACAACCAUGUCCCUUGAGCCUACUGCCUCUGAGAGCUGUCUUGAGAAUUCCAGGUCUAGUUCAUCCUCCUGGUGUGAUGGUCUGUAAUAGACUCCCGCUACCAAGUCCCUUUCACCCUGACCCUCUUGUAUUCUGACCCACAGUAUCUCAAUUUGUCCCUUCUCUGAUCCCAUCUUGAUUAUUGAAAAUGUGUAUUGCUCCUUAACAUAGAAAGCAAUGUUCCCCCCACCUUUUUUCCCCCCACUCUAUUACAUCUAUAUGGCCUAUAGCCCUCAAUACCUACUGCUCAAUCAUGGGUAGGGUCCCACCAGGUUUCAGUUAAUUCAAUCAGGUCAAAGUCUUUGUUUGCAAGCAGGAGUGUGAGUUCUUCCUGCUUGUUCCCCAUGCUUCUAGCAUUAGUAUGGAGACACGUACGUCACCCGAUAGGUGCCCUUGGUACUCUCCUGUCCUGAUGCCUAUCGGCCCCUCAGUACUUACGUGGACUGUUCCAGUGCAUGGCUUGUCGUUUGUUGUUCUUAGGUGUCCUCUGUCUUCUGCAUCCUCAUCCCCCCAGUGCACCUAAUUUAAAGCCCUGUGCAGGAGAUCAUCCAACCUGUAAGAGAACAGAUUCUUACUUUUUAAAGAGAGAUGGAGACCGUCUUGUCCCAGCAUGCUUCUUUCAUGAAAGUGUGGAUCAUGCUUGAAGAAGCCAAAACCUGCAUGAUGGCACCAACUCUGGAGCUGCAAGUUGACUUCUCUAAUACAGCUGUCUCUGCUGGCUGUGACCGCUGGCCAGAAGGAUCAACAAGACCACCUGCACCCCCAGUCUCCUAAGCCUGGCCCCCAGACCCUUGCAGUCACUCAUGAUUCAGCCCAGACUACUCCUGGCUGUAUCAUUUGUACCCACAUGGAUGAGGACCAUGGGAUAAUAGUUGGAGGGCCGGAUGAGGUCAGGAAUCCUCACAGUGAUGUCCUGAAUCUAGGCUCUGGGCAGACAGUAUACCUCCCAUACUGUGGGAUCCAGCCUACAGAAGACUCCCUCCAUUCCUCUUGGGAGGGAGUUGCCCAUCAUGAUGACUCGGUGUCUCUUCUUCCGCUUAUCCAGUUGUCCUUCAAUCUGCAUGGUGGUGGCUGUGGAUGCAGCUGCUUUUGCUGCACUCUCCUCUAGUGAUGCCAGGGCCUCAUAUGUGUUCCCCAUAAUAACGUAUCUCAUGAUAAGUUGUCUCUUACCUCUCCCUCUGCUAACUUCUCUUUCCUCCGCAUGUCAUAACUGUCCAAUUGCCUUUCAAGUGCUCGUAUCACUAACAUAAUAACAUUAAAUAAAAGCCAUUUUUCUAAUUUA